rnacentral:rRNA from 1 species
AUGGGCAGCCUCGCCGGCGGGGUCGGGGCCAGGCGGCCGCGGUUCCUGUGCCUGCACGGCUUCCGGACCAGCGGUGAGAUCAUGCGGAAGCAGGUGGUGGGGAAGUGGCCCGCCGAGGUCACGGCGCGCCUCGACCUCGUCUUCGCCGACGCGCCCUUCCCGGCCGAGGGCAAGUCCGACGUCCACGGCAUCUUCGACCCGCCCUACUACGAGUGGUUCCAGUUCGACAAGGGAUUCACGGAGUACAGGAAUUUCGACAAAUGCCUGGCUUACAUCGAGGAGCUCAUGAUCAAAGAAGGGCCCUUUGAUGGACUAAUGGGUUUCUCCCAGGGCUCGAUUCUAUCUGGCGCACUUCCGGGGCUCCAAGAACAAGGAUUGGCCUUGACUAGAGUUCCUAAGAUCAAGUACCUCAUAAUCAUAGGCGGCGCCAAGUUCCGCUCACCCGCAAUAGCCGAUAAGGCCUACGCCAACAUGAUCAAAAUCCCCUCGCUUCACUUCCUCGGCGACAAUGACUUCCUUAAACCCCAUGGUGAACAGCUCAUAGAGUCAUUUGUGGAUCCAUUCAUUAUACGUCACCCAAAGGGCCACACGGUCCCAAGGCUCGUUGAUGAGACGAGUUUGGAAGUCAUGUCCCGUUUCCUUGACAAGAUGGAAAAGGAGAUAUCUGAACUUCCAUCCGCCGAGGCUGAAGCAGCCGCUGAUGUUGACGAAAAAGAAGUGUGCAUCUGA